AGCUUUAUAUGGAUAACAGAUUAUAUAUCAUAUAACCUCCAACACAUUUUUUAGUUUUGUCAACUGUCAACAUCUACUAGAAUCUUGCAGAUGAAGCAACGCCAAGUAGAAAAAGACAAUAAAAACCAAACCCAUGACGAAGUAUAAAUAAACAAAGUAUAAAUAAAGUGUAUGAAAAUUAGUUCUCCUAUAAACAUUAUAAAUAUGAUAUAGAUUCAUUGUUUUGAUGGCUUUUCGUCAUAUUGUUUUAUUUGGGCUCUAUAUUUAUUUAUAAUGUUGUAAAUUCAAUGUUUGUGAAUGUAGAGCUUGGAAAGCAGGACAAUUGUAUUUAACAUAGAAUAAUGCAUGACGGUCUUUUAUCAGUUAUUUGUGUCCACUUUACGUUACUGUGCAUGACCACUUUGUCAAUAAAGAGUUUUCAAAAGGAAUUCCGUCCACAGGCCAAUAAGAUCGCUUGACGUCACCGUCCACAGGCCAAUAAAAUCGCUUGGCGUCACCGUCCACAGGCCAAUCAGAUCGCUCGGUGUGCCGCGUCUAUUUGAAAACAGAAAUGGCUGAAGCGCGAGCGUAAGUCUCUAACGUUUAACCCUGUGUUGUCGUUUUAAACGUUUCAAUAUGCUUCAGAUAACAUGUUUAACAUGUCAGAUAACGUGUACGUUGUGUUUUAAAGUUGUAACUAAAGCGUUUGCGUUAGUUAGCUAGCAGAAGCUAACGGCUGCUAACUAGAUUACUAAGAGUACGAACGUUACAGGUACCUCUGAGAUGUAGUAUAAUACUACAGGUACCUCUGAGAUGUCGUAUAAUACUACAGGUACCUCUGAGAUGUAGUAUACUACAGGUACCUCUGAGAUGUCGUACAGUACUACCUGUCCCUGCGUCCAGGGUUCUGCGGUGCUGUGAUCCGGUUAUCUUGGGUUCCUUUAGAGACUCAGAACCACCUGAAGCAGCUCGGAUGGUUCUCCACCUGAUGGACAGCAGGCGGGUCCAGAACGUUCUGGGCCGCGAGCUAUUUGUUCUGGACUUAAUGAUGUCCCUGCUGGAGGGGCUGGAGUCUGCCCGGCAACUGAUGACACAGGCCUGCCCCGCCCAGCCUGUCUAUAGGGGCAGACAUGUGAGUCGGCUGAGUCGACCCAGAGAUUCAACUCUGGGGACAGGGACGCCGCUCGGUGCGUGAGGAUCCCCUCGUGGACCUCUCACUCUGCGGCCCUCGCCGGGCGCAUCGUCUCCGUUGAGGGGGCGGGGCUCGCAGCAGGUGGAAGGCUCUGAAAGGAGACAGCAGGUCCAGGACGGAGGACACAGAGACACUCCUCAGAUCUCUGGAGGACAAAGUUCAACAAAUACACAACAGGAGACACACACUCACACAACUGGUCCACCAGCUGGAGAGCAAGAAGCAGCAGCAUGAAAGGCUGGAGGAGUCUCUGCAGAAGGCCCAGAAUGCAUUGCAGUUAUGCGACAAUCAGCUGAACCAGCUGAGGGCGGAGUCAGAGAUGAGCUGCAGGUGUACGCCUCUUCCCUACAGGACAGCAUGCAGAUCAACCUGCUGUCAUUCAGCCAAUCAGAGCUGCGUCUGGAGCUCAGGCCACGCCCCUCUACAGAUAUGUCGUCCAAUGAGCCGGAACUACUGAAGUUGUCAGUCACCUGGAGCCACGGCGACCGCUUCACACUGCAGGUGAGGGAGGGUCCUGCUGGUCUGGUGGAGGACGGGCUGUCGGGCCGGCGGUCUAAACUGAGCGCCGCCUUGCUGGAGGUGAUGCAGCGUUACCUGUGUCAGUUCCAGCUGCUGUCUGAGAUCUAGCUUCGCCAUCGACUGGCGCCCGGCCCAGCAGAUCCUGGUGUUCCUGAAGUCGGCUGGGCUGGUCUUCACCCUGCAGGUCCAGGACGGGUACCCUGGAGCCGGGUCGGCCCGCCUGCUGUCAGCACUCAGACGGCCGAGCUGUGGACACGUCUGGGCUGAAGCCUCUCAGAUCUAACCACAGUCUCACUGAUUGGUUGGUGUUCCUCAGCAGCGCUCCAAUGGACUGACUCCUCCUCCUCUGGACUGGCUCCUCCCCUGGACUGUGUUACUAAAUAAAUGUUUACAACAAGUGAA